CUAGUACUCCCUCCGUCCGGAAAUACUUGUCAUCAAAAUGGAUAAAAGGGGAUGUAUCUAGACGUAUUUUAGUUCUAGAUACAUCUCUUUUUAUCCAUUUUGAUGACAAGUAUUUUCGGACGGAGGGAGUACAUA
rnacentral:pre_miRNA from 1 species